rnacentral:rRNA from 1 species
AUUGAACGCUGGCGGCAGGCCUAACACAUGCAAGUCGAACGGUAACAGGAAGCAGCUUGCUGCUUCGCUGACGAGUGGCGGACGGGUGAGUAAUGUCUGGGAAGCUGCCUGAUGGAGGGGGAUAACUACUGGAAACGGUAGCUAAUACCGCAUAAUGUCGCAAGACCAAAGAGGGGGACCUUCGGGCCUCUUGCCAUCGGAUGUGCCCAGAUGGGAUUAGCUUGUUGGUGGGGUAACGGCUCACCAAGGCGACGAUCCCUAGCUGGUCUGAGAGGAUGACCAGCCACACUGGAACUGAGACACGGUCCAGACUCCUACGGGAGGCAGCAGUGGGAAUAUUGCACAAUGGGCGCAAGCCUGAUGCAGCCAUGCCGCGUGUAUGAAGAAGGCCUUCGGGUUGUAAAGUACUUUCAGCGGGGAGGAAGGGAGUAAAGUUAAUACCUUUGCUCAUUGACGUUACCCGCAGAAGAAGCACCGGCUAACUCCGUG